GUAGUGUAUUGGACUACCAUGGCGAUGACGGGUGACGGAGAAUUAGGGUUCGAUUCCGGAGAGGGAGCCUGAGAAAUGGCUACCACAUCUAAGGAAGGCAGCAGGCGCGCAAAUUACCCAAUCCUAACUCAGGGAGGUAGUGACAAGAAAUAACAACGCGGGGCUUUGUCUUGCGAUUGGAAUGAGUUAAGUGUAAAAGCCUUUUCGAGGACCCACUGGAGGGCAAGUCUGGUGCCAGCA
rnacentral:rRNA from 1 species